UAUUGCUGCAAUGGUAUAACCUAUUCUACUUCUUGUAGGGUUCAUUGCCUUACGGUAGGUUGUGCCUAUAAUUAUAGGAAUCAACAAGAGCAAUCAUGAACUCCCAAUUAUCUUGUAAUUUGGAAAGCGCGAGAAAGCUUGUGGAUGAACUGAAGUAUCACACCAACAUAUCAAGACUACCGGUCUCCCAAGCCGCUACAGAGUUGCUGAACUAUGUUCUAGAAAACCAAGGGCGAGAUUUCCUGCUGGUGAAGCCUCCAGAUAACCCCUUCAAACCCAAAAGCUCAUGCAUGUUUCUCUGACAAAAGCUGCAUGCAGCACUCCAAAUAAACUUCUACUUUUGGAGUGUCUAAAUAGGAACUCUAUGAUUCGGUGCUGAAUCAUUCUGCAAUUGUAUUUUUAAGCAAUCGCGAAAAGUGAAAAUUGUGUGCUUUUAUUCUCGGUACAAGUCUAAGCUCUUAUCUCUUCAUUUAAAUCUUGUAAGUUGUAGCAAUAUUCUUUUUCCUUAUAUGGUACCAAACAAACCAGUGGCCUGUGAAGUGUUUAUCAGUGAUGUAUGCUUCUAUGUAAAUACGUAAGGUAUAGCAUGCCUUAAAUGAACGAUGGUUAAAAGUAUUCAACUUAAGUUGCACUCUUGUUUGGAUGAAUGUCAGUUUGUUUUUUCGCUCGUUGUUAGUUAAAUGAACUAUGUCCUCUUCAGUUGACUAAGGAAAAUAGUACUGCUGUCUUUAUUAAUUUAAAUUUCUUUUACCAACGGCUCUUUCAGUGUCUUGUAACAAACCAAUGAAAUACAUCAUUUAUGUAACAGUAA